rnacentral:rRNA from 1 species
GGGGAAUCUUGCGCAAUGGGCGGAAGCCUGACGCAGCAACGCCGCGUGUGGGAAGACGGCUUUCGGGUUGUAAACCACUUUCAGGGGGGACGAAGCUUCCGAGGUUAAUAGCCUACGGGGUGACGGUACCCCCAGAAGAAGCCCCGGCUAACUACGUGCCAGCAGCCGCGGUAAUACGUAGGGGGCGAGCGUUGUCCGGAAUCAUUGGGCGUAAAGCGCGUGUAGGCGGCUUUGUAAGUCUGGUGUGAAACCUUGGGGCUCAACCCCAAGCCUGCACUGGAUACUGCUUAGCUUGAGUCCGGGAGGGGAGAGCGGAAUUCCUAGUGUAGCGGUGAAAUGCGCAGAUAUUAGGAAGAACACCGGUGGCGAAGGCGGCUCUCUGGAACGGUACUGACGCUGAGACGCGAAAGCGUGGGGAGCGAAC